rnacentral:rRNA from 1 species
GAUGAAACGCUAGCCGGCAGGCUUAACACAUGCAAGUUCGUGGGGCAGCGGGGUGAGCGCUUGCGCUCUCCGCCGGCGAACCGGCGCACGGGUGAGUAACACGUAUGCAACCUGCCCCUGCCAGGGGGACAACCCCGGCGAAAAGCCGGGCUAAUCCCGCGUACAUCCCCCGGGGGCAUCCCCGGGUGAGGAAAGGAGCGAUCCGGGCAGGGAUGGGCAUGCGGCGCAUUAGGCAGACGGCGGUGUGACGGACCACCGAGCCGACGAUGCGUAGGGGUUCUGAGAGGAAGGUCCCCCACACUGGUACUGAGACACGGACCAGACUCCUACGGGAGGCAGCAGUGAGGAAUAUUGGUCAAUGGCCGUAAGGCUGAACCAGCCAAGCCGCGUGGCGGAAGAAGGUGCUGAGCAUCGUAAACGCCUUUUGCCGGGGAACAACGGGCAUCACGCGUGGUGCCGUGAGUGUACCCGGAGAAAAAGCAUCGGCUAACUCCGUGCCAGCAGCCGCGGUAAUACGGAGGAUGCGAGCGUUAUCCGGAAUCAUUGGGUUUAAAGGGUGCGUAGGCUGCGGGUCAAGUCAGCGGUGAAAUCCCGGGGCUCAACCCCGGCGAGCCGUUGAAACUGGCCUGCUUGAGAGGGGGCGAGGCACGCGGAAUGCGCGGUGUAGCGGUGAAAUGCAUAGAUAUCGCGCAGAACUCCGAUUGCGAAGGCAGCGUGCCGGCCCUGGUCUGACGCUGAGGCACGAAAGCGUGGGGAUCGAACAGGAUUAGAUACCCUGGUAGUCCACGCAGUAAACGAUGAAUACUUGGUGUGUGUCCGGUUAGGGAUGCGCGCCGGAGCGAAAGCGUUAAGUAUUCCACCUGGGGAGUACGCCGGCAACGGUGAAACUCAAAGGAAUUGACGGGGGCCCGCACAAGCGGAGGAACAUGUGGUUUAAUUCGAUGAUACGCGAGGAACCUUACCCGGGCUCAAACGGGCCGCGACAGGGGCGGAGACGCCCUUUCCCUCCGGGGCGCGGUCCGAGGUGCUGCAUGGUUGUCGUCAGCUCGUGCCGUGAGGUGUCGGCUUAAGUGCCAUAACGAGCGCAACCCCUGCCGCCAGUUGCUAACGGUUUAAGCCGAGGACUCUGGCGGGACUGCCGGCGCAAGCCGCGAGGAAGGCGGGGAUGACGUCAAAAUCAGCACGGCCCUUACGUCCGGGGCGACACACGUGUUACAAUGGGGCGGCACAGCGGGAAAGCCACGCGGCGACGCGGAGCGGAAACCCGAAAACGCCUCUCAGUUUCGGAUUCGGAGCCUGCAACCCGGCUCCGUGAAAGCUGGAUUUCGCUAGUAAUCGCGCAUCAGCCAUGGCGCGGUGAAUACGUUUCCCGGGCCU